rnacentral:tRNA from 1 species
GGGCAGCUGGCCGAGCGGUCAAAAGCGCCAGAUUGUAGAUCUGGUCCCUACGGGGUUCGGAGGUUCGAAUCCUUCUCUGCCCA